UCUAUAGCAAUGUGUUUUACAAAAGUAAAUGGUAACGUAUAAUGCAAAACGUAUUAUAUAACAUUUAUUAGUAUGACAAGUGAAUAGUAUUGAUCAUAACGUAGGUAAAAACUGUGACCGAAAAUAAUGGAGGGGAUUAGUGUUUUGUUAAUUUUAUUGUUUUACACUGCUGUAAAUCAAGGUGUCGAGGGUGUCAGGUUAGAUGUAACACCAUCACAGAAUUUACAGUCGGGUGCUACAUCUUUAACAUUACGCUGUUCUCCUACUGUUAGUUCUGGUUAUGCUAUAUUAUUGAGUAUACAGAUAAAUAAACAAAUAACCUUGGUAGUCGUAGAUUUACUUGGGACGAGACCUGGAACAGGAAUAACUGGACCGAAAUAUACAGUAACCGGAAACUUCCAGACAAAACGACCAGCCCAAUCCUAUCUACAAGUUGUUAUCAAAGAUCCUGAUUGUAAUGAUGCUGCUGAAUAUCAGUGUAUAACUAAUGGGAUUGCUGGUACCUCCCAGAUUUCAUUUCAAGAAGAUAAAAAUGUUACAUUUCAAAGUGGUAUUAACAUGAUGAUAUAUCCAAAUAAACAACAGUAUGAUGUUGGUGAAAAUAUUGAGAUAACCUGUCAUGUAAAUGUUGGGAAUCCUCAAUGGUCCUGGUCUUGGGAAUCCAUAUCACCUGGUGAUUCUUAUCCUACACCAAUACGGGAGAAUAUAACUGAUGGUCAAGUUGAUCCACCAGCGUCAUCUGCAUGUGGCUAUUAUUCUAGAAGCAAAUUUAGUUAUUAUGUUGGUAAAAAUGAUACUGGUCUAGAGAUCAGAUGUAUGGUCGGCAAUUCAGCUAUCUACAGUGCUAAGAAAAUUAUCUAUAUAAGAAGUAAGUGAAACAUGAAGUCCUUUCGGUGCCCCUAUUGUAAAUAAUCUGGUUGUUUACUGAAAUAUUAAAUCUCAAAUUUAAAUACGUUGCUUAGUAGCAUAUUAAAAGAAGAAAAAUUUUAGAUAAUUACUCUUGAAAUAAAAAAACAAGUUGGUAGGUUCAAGUCAUUUCCACGACACACUGAAGUAACAAAUCAAUUUUUAAAAUAGAUUUACCAAUUAUUAAUAUAUACGUAUAUGUUAUCACGUACUAAAUUUAUCUUGAGCGCGCAUAAACACCCGGGGUUGCGAUACAUUAAAACUUAAAGUUCGGCAUUACGUGUGUCGAUAUUUAUGGAUUGGAUGUAAAAUGUAUCUGUAAAGAAAGAUCAUCCCAUUUGAUGUAUUUUAACAAGAACACAAGGUAAGAUGUCUUUCAUCUGGGACGGUAGAUAGCACCUGAUGCUUCAAUAUUCAAAUGUUCGGACAGAACAUAUCUUAAUAAACGCUUUAGAUUUAUAAAAAUAGAUGCUAUCUACCGGAAAAGUAUUAAGGUGAAGACAGUAUAUUUUAGAUAUCCUUUGUUACAAUCCAAGGGAUUUUUGUGAAUGUAGAUUAAAGAUUGUGUCACAGAAGGUCGGAAUGUCAGAUGUGGUAGUAUUUAAAGAGUGUGCUACAUCACUGUAUCUAGAUGGAUGUUUCGGUGUGCUAAGUGAUUUAAAGAAUGUGGCAAGACAAAGUGUAUGAAUAUAUGUUAACGAAUUUUAGGCGUGUUAAGUGAUUUACAAAGUGUGAUAUCCAGAUGGAUGUGUGUGUAUCAAUAGAUAUAUACGAUUUGCGAUGUGUCAGAUUUAAAGUUGCAAUUUCAUAUUUCAAUUUCAGUUAUAUUUUUAAAAUGUAUUAAAAUAAAGCCUUAAAAUAGAUGGUGUCUAUAAACAGUCCCACCUUGUUAAAGAAUAAUCCUAUUAAUCCUAUAAUUCACUACUGCCAGUUGAGAAAUUGGCAAAAAUAUCAUUUUCAACUUCAAAUUCAAACGUUUGAAGAUAGCUAUUCCAUGGGGGGGGGGGUGUAAAAAAAACAAGGGAGGUAAUUGUGUUAUUAUUUCCGGAGUCAAGGAUUUAUAAGUGGGAGAAUGAUACCUAUGAGUUGACAACCUAUUGAGCAAAAGACAAAGAAAUAAUUAUGUUUUGACUUUCUUAGAAAAUAUGAAAUUCUCGCUCUAAAGAGUGUAUCAAGGCAGUGUAUCUGGGCGGAUACUAAUUAAUGUUCGGUGUGCUUAGUGAUUUUUUUUUGUGUCUGUGUGGAUGUGUAUUUGCUUUAGUUGUUCUGGAUAUUUUAAAGUGAAUGUCGAGCCAGCAUAUAUAACUAGAUAGAUGUUAAGAGUGAUUUAAAGAUUGUACUAAAUGGCCAUUUGUGGGGUGAGGAAAAAUAUUGUGUGUUUAUUAGUUCUAGGAAAUAACUGCUUUUAAGAGUGUUUGGCAUUUUAGUGCGUAAGAGCGAUGGGGGAUGUGUGCUUAGCUGUGUUCAAAACUGUACGACAAAGAAAUAA